rnacentral:rRNA from 1 species
GAUGAACGCUGGCGGCGUGCCUAAUACAUGCAAGUCGAGCGAACUGAUUAGAAGCUUGCUUCUAUGACGUUAGCGGCGGACGGGUGAGUAACACGUGGGCAACCUGCCUGUAAGACUGGGAUAACUUCGAGAAACCGAAGCUAAUACCGGAUAGGAUCUUCUCCUUCAUGGGAGAUGAUUGAAAGAUGGUUUCGGCUAUCACUUACAGAUGGGCCCGCGGUGCAUUAGCUAGUUGGUGAGGUAACGGCUCACCAAGGCAACGAUGCAUAGCCGGUCUGUGAGGGUGAGCGGCCAAACUGGGACUGGGACACGGCCCAGACUCCUACGGGGGGCAGCAGUAGGGAAUCUUCCGCAAUGGGCGAAAGUCUGACGGAGCAACGCCGCGUGAGUGAUGAAGGCUUUCGGGUCGUAAAACUCUGUUGUUAGGGAAGAAUAAGUACAAGAGUAACUGCUUGUACCUUGACGGUACCUAACCAGAAAGCCACGGCUAACUACGUGCCAGCCGCCGCCGUAAAAC